GGGGAGCAGCCCAGAGCCUGAAUCAGUAUGUGUGUUAGUGGAAGCGUCUGGAAAGGCGCGCGAUACAGGGUGACAGCCCCGUACACAAAAAUGCACAUGCUGUGAGCUCGAUGAGUAGGGCGGGACACGUGGUAUCCUGUCUGAAUAUGGGGGGACCAUCCUCCAAGGCUAAAUACUCCUGACUGACCGAUAGUGAACCAGUACCGUGAGGGAAAGGCGAAAAGAACCCCGGCGAGGGGAGUGAAAAAGAACCUGAAACCGUGUACGUACAAGCAGUGGGAGCACGCUUAGGCGUGUGACUGCGUACCUUUUGUAUAAUGGGUCAGCGACUUAUAUUCUGUAGCAAGGUUAACCGAAUAGGGGAGCCGAAGGGAAACCGAGUCUUAACUGGGCGUUAAGUUGCAGGGUAUAGACCCGAAACCCGGUGAUCUAGCCAUGGGCAGGUUGAAGGUUGGGUAACACUAACUGGAGGACCGAACCGACUAAUGUUGAAAAAUUAGCGGAUGACUUGUGGCUGGGGGUGAAAGGCCAAUCAAACCGGGAGAUAGCUGGUUCUCCCCGAAAGCUAUUUAGGUAGCGCCUCGUGAAUUCAUCUCCGGGGGUAGAGCACUGUUUCGGCAAGGGGGUCAUCCCGACUUACCAACCCGAUGCAAACUGCGAAUACCGGAGAAUGUUAUCACGGGAGACACACGGCGGGUGCUAACGUCCGUCGUGAAGAGGGAAACAACCCAGACCGCCAGCUAAGGUCCCAAAGUCAUGGUUAAGUGGGAAACGAUGUGGGAAGGCCCAGACAGCCAGGAUGUUGGCUUAGAAGCAGCCAUCAUUUAAAGAAAGCGUAAUAGCUCACUGGUCGAGUCGGCCUGCGCGGAAGAUGUAACGGGGCUAAACCAUGCACCGAAGCUGCGGCAGCGACGCUGAUGCGUUGUUGGGUAGGGGAGCGUUCUGUAAGCCUGCGAAGGUGUGCUGUGAGGCAUGCUGGAGGUAUCAGAAGUGCGAAUGCUGACAUAAGUAACGAUAAAGCGGGUGAAAAGCCCGCUCGCCGGAAGACCAAGGGUUCCUGUCCAACGUUAAUCGGGGCAGGGUGAGUCGACCCCUAAGGCGAGGCCGAAAGGCGUAGUCGAUGGGAAACAGGUUAAUAUUCCUGUACUUGGUGUUACUGCGAAGGGGGGACGGAGAAGGCUAUGUUGGCCGGGCGACGGUUGUCCCGGUUUAAGCGUGUAGGCUGGUUUUCCAGGCAAAUCCGGAAAAUCAAGGCUGAGGCGUGAUGACGAGGCACU
rnacentral:rRNA from 1 species